rnacentral:rRNA from 1 species
AGUGAACGCUGGCGGUAGGCCUAACACAUGCAAGUCGAACGGCAGCACAGUAAGAGCUUGCUCUUACGGGUGGCGAGUGGCGGACGGGUGAGGAAUACAUCGGAAUCUACUUUUUCGUGGGGGAUAACGUAGGGAAACUUACGCUAAUACCGCAUACGACCUACGGGUGAAAGCAGGGGAUCUUCGGACCUUGCGCGAUUGAAUGAGCCGAUGUCGGAUUAGCUAGUUGGCGGGGUAAAGGCCCACCAAGGCGACGAUCCGUAGCUGGUCUGAGAGGAUGACAAGCAACACUGGAACUGAGACACGGUCCAGCCUCCUACGGGAGGCAGCAGUGGGGAAUAUUGGACAAUGGGCGCAAGCCUGAUCCAGCCAUACCGCGUGGGUGAAGAAGGCCUUCGGGUUGUAAAGCCCUUUUGUUGGGAAAGAAAAGCAGCAGGUUAAUACCCCGCUGUUCUGACGGUACCCAAAGAAUAAGCACCGGCUAACUUCGUG